GGCAAUAGAUCCCUUAACUUUGCAGCCAGCAAGCACCUCGUUUGGUUUGAGGGGUGCCAACAUUUCUUAACAUGUAAAUGCCGAUGAAAAUGCAAUAGUCCCGUGAUUUUUAUCACCUGAGCCAUGUCAAUCGAAUUGGAUUUCAAUCAUUCAACUUCAUAUCUCUCUCUCUCUCUCUCUCUCUCUCUCUCUCUCUCUCUCUCUCUCUCUUUGGCAUUCAAGCAAGAUGAACAACCUUCUCACGGAUUCUUUUGUGAUGAGCAUGGACGAGCAGAGUCCAACAAAAAGGAGCAUUGAACUAGGAACUCAUAUUCCAAUAAAUAAAUCAGAUUAUGGAAUGGAGGAUUUCUUUAAAAAGGCCUUGGAUCUGAGAUAGACAUGCUCGUUAGCUGUUGAUUUGCUGAUAUUUUGAAGGAAUGUUUGCUUAUUUGAAGAAUAUUAUUGGUUGUUUUGAGUUCUAGUCAUUACUUCUUAUUUUGAAGGAUUCAUGCUGUAGAUCUGUUUCCUUGUCAUGUUGAAUGAGUAUUACUGCCAAUUCUCUCUCUUUGUAUUAGUUGUAUUUGUGCAAAAACCUUUUAAAGGGAGAUUAUAUCAUGGAUUGGAGAGCAAAGGUUGGCAUAUAAAUCUGUAUUGCUCCCCA